rnacentral:rRNA from 1 species
AUUGAACGCUGGCGGCAGGCCUAACACAUGCAAGUCGAGCGGAUGAUGGGAGCUUGCUCCUGGAUUCAGCGGCGGACGAGUGAGUAAUGCCUAGGAAUCUGCCUGGUAGUGGGGGACAACGUUUCGAAAGGAACGCUAAUACCGCAUACGUCCUACGGGAGAAAGCAGGGGACCUUCGGGCCUUGCGCUAUCAGAUGAGCCUAGGUCGGAUUAGCUAGUAGGUGAGGUAAUGGCUCACCUAGGCGACGAUCCGUAACUGGUCUGAGAGGAUGAUCCGUCACAAUGGAACUGAGACGCGGUCCAGAAUCCUACGGGAGGCAGCAGUGGGGAAUAUUGGACAAUGGGCGAAAGCCUGAUCCAGCCAUGCCGCGUGUGGGAAGAAGGUCUUCGGAUUGUAAAGCACUUUAAGUUGGGAGGAAGGGCAGUAAGUUAAUACCUUGCUGUUUUGACGUUACCGACAGAAUAAGCACCGGCUAACUCUGUGCCAGCCGCCGCGGUAAAAC